rfam:Enterococcus mundtii QT 25 DNA, complete genome.
CAAUGAGGUAGAGGUCGCGAGAAUCAUUAAACCUGUGGAGUGAAGCAAACAUGUGGAAGCAGGGCUAGGGAGGAUCGCCGAAAUGUACUUUUUUUUGCUUAAAAAGUAUGUUGGGACGUAAGUUAACAGCUUACGGACUGUCUUAGCAGUGAUGCUAAGUUGCGCUAUGUUUUGU